GUUGUCUAUUUUAGGAUGACGUUUGAUUUUUUCCCUGUAUUUCUCUUGUUGUCAUCUCAUCAGGUCAUUAAGGAAACAGAUUUGAAUGAAACUGGAUGGAGUCACAGAUCAGCUCAUUAACAAAACAAAUUUGAAUGAAAGUGGAUGGAAUCACAGGUUUUAAACUACCAUCAAAUGUUCUUAAGGUCAUUAAGGAAACAGAUUUGAAUGAAACUGGAUGGAGUCACAGGUUUUAAACUACCAUCAAACGUUCCUAAGAGAAUCUGAUGAUUUUUUUGUUAUUUAUUGGACUUAUAUGUUUUUUCAGCAGACACCUCAUGCGUACUGCUACAUUUUACUCACACUUGAUAAUUUCUACUGAUCGAUGCAUGUUCUCAUUGUACCGCAUGUAAAAAGUUGUCUAUUUUAGGAUGACGUUUGAUUUUUUCCCUGUAUUUCUCUUGUUGUCAUCUCAUCAGGUCAUUAAGGAAACAGAUUUGAAUGAAACUGGAUGGA